AACGAACGCUGGCGGCAGGCUUAACACAUGCAAGUCGAACGCCCCGCAAGGGGAGUGGCAGACGGGUGAGUAACACGUGGGGAUCUGCCCAAUGGUACGGAAUAAUUCCGGGAAACUGGGACUAAUACCGUAUGUGCCCGCAAGGGGAAAGAUUUAUCGCCAUUGGAUGAACCCGCGUCGGAUUAGCUAGUUGGUGAGGUAAAGGCUCACCAAGGCGACGAUCCGUAGCUGGUCUGAGAGGAUGAUCAGCCACACUGGGACUGAGACAUGGCCCAGACUCCUACGGGAGGCAGCAGUGGGGAAUAUUGGACAAUGGGCGCAAGCCUGAUCCAGCCAUGCCGCGUGAGUGAUGAAGGCCUUAGGGUUGUAAAGCUCUUUCGCCGACGAAGAUAAUGACGGUAGUCGGAGAAGAAGCCCCGGCUAACUUCGUGCCAGCAGCCGCCGUAAGAC
rnacentral:rRNA from 1 species